rnacentral:rRNA from 1 species
UACGUAGGGUGCAAGCGUUGUCCGGAAUUAUUGGGCGUAAAGAGCUCGUAGGCGGUCUGUUGCGUCGGCUGUGAAAACCCGGGGCUCAACCCCGGGUCUGCAUUCGAUACGGGCUAGCUAGAGUGUGGUAGGGGAGAUCGGAAUUCCUGGUGUAGCGGUGAAAUGCGCAGAUAUCAGGAGGAACACCGGUGGCGAAGGCGGAUCUCUGGGCCAUUACUGACGCUGAGGAGCGAAAGCGUGGGGAGCGAACAGG